UACCGGCAGCCCGAGUGAUGGCCGAUCUUAUUGGGCCUAAAGCGUCCGUAGCUGGCUGCGCAAGUCCAUCGGAAAAUCCACCCGCUCAACGGGUGGGCGACCGGUGGAAACUGCGUGGCUUGGGACCGGAAGGCGCGACGGGUACGUCCGGGGUAGGAGUGAAAUCCCGUAAUCCCGGACGGACUACCGAUGGCGAAAGCACUCUGAGAAGACGGCUUCGACAGUGAGGGACGAAAGCUAGGGUCUCAAA
rnacentral:rRNA from 1 species